rnacentral:rRNA from 1 species
UACAGAGGGUGCGAGCGUUGUCCGGAAUCACUGGGCGUAAAGGGCGCGUAGGUGGUGGCUUAAGCGUGCGGUGAAAGCUCGGGGCUCAACUCCGAGUCGGCCGUGCGAACUGGGCCCACUGGAGCAUAGUAGAGGCAGGUGGAAUUCCGGGUGUAGCGGUGGAAUGCGUAGAGAUCCGGAAGAACACCGGUGGCGAAGGCGGCCUGCUGGGCCGAUGACUGACGCUGAGGAGCGAAAGCGUGGGGAGCGAACAGG